AUGGGGACAAUAUGCAUCUUUUCCCAAGUGGAGCCCAAAGCAGGCACCCCCUGGAAGCACUGAGAGGAUGUGGGUUUGGUGGCAGGGAGUCAGGAGCUGUCCCUUGGUGGAGGUACUGAAGGAUUUAUUCUAGUGGAUUUCCCUCUGCAAUACCUGGGGUCUCUCUCCUCCUUUGCUGGUGCUGUUUGCAAGAGACUUCUCAGCUGCCUGAGUGACUUGCUUCUGAAAGCUGUCUCUUCAGAGAAGAAGUGUGGCUUAAGGGGACAGUUGUCUGUCAUGGUAGAAAUGCCUUCACUGUCAUGAAAUAACAGAAGAUAAGGAUGUGGUGUGAUGAUCCUGGAGCUCGGUGUACUAAGUGCUUCCAAGCGAAGGACUUGGACUGGACUCUUUAAGCAGGCAGGUUCCUGAUACCACCAAGCAUCUGGCUCUGAGCAUACAGGGAUGCUGGAACUGGUUCAUGCCAAACAGGGCUCGUGUCCUGUGACUUUGUCCGCAAGGGGAACAAAGCUGAAGGAAGCUAAGGCUGCAAGGAGAAGCUGGAGCAAGCAUGGGUCACGGACAGCACUUGAAUAGCAGGGUGGAGUGGCAAAAUCAGAUGUGUUUUGUUGCAGGCCUUGUGCCUGCAUGCUUACAAAGAUAGGUACAACCUCAAAUGUGGGAUUGCAGGAGUGUUGUGAGUUCAUCUAGAAGGAAGAAAUUCAAAAUCUCUUCAGCUCCUGAAGAAAAAUGUAUGCCAAUUAAUUCUGAAUUGGGAUUUUCCUUUACAUUUGAUCUACUUCAGAAUGCACCACAAGGAAAGCUUCCUAUGAGGAAAGCUUAGAAAUGCUCUCAGGGAAAAGGCAGCAUCCUAACUCUCCUGUUUCCUGAAGGGUUCGAAGCAGAACUCUGCUUGAUGCACUUCCUAUAGGGGGAAUAUAAGGCCUUACUUAAUUCAGCCUCCUCAGACUUCUAUUUUUCAGUCCAGCCUACAUUACCAGAUGAUCCUUCCCUGUGUUUAUCUGCUUUCCUUAUUUCCAGUUUCUGUAGUGUGCUUUCUGUCUUGCUUGAACCCACAAAAAAUGAAUCCCUUCCUUUGCUUACUACAGCACAAUGCUUUGGCGUAUAAGAUGCUUAUGUGGAACAAAAUUGGGGAGCUUGGAUGUGACUUGAGAAAUGAGCAAUGCAAAACCAGCCUUGGAUGGUUUGUGUGGCAUAAGCUGUGUAGAUGGCAGGCAGUAGGGUGUGCUGCUUAAAAACCUUUGUGAAAUCUGAUUAACAUUGUUGGGAUAUUUCAAGGUUAGGGGUUUAAAAAGCUUUCCCUUCAGGCUGUAUCUUUAUUGUGCUGUUUAUGUUGAGGGGGUACAUAACCCAAAAUCCCUCCCUCAGCCUCCAUCCCUUCUGUCUUUUUCUAAAUAGUCAGUUUGGGCUGGAUGCUUCUGGAAUAAUGACUGCAUCCAAAACUAAUCACAGUGACUUCCAGAUCUGGAUAUGAUUACUGACAACAACAACAAAAAGAGGCAGUUGUGUUUUCUUUCUAUUAGAUGUUUGUAGUGGGGGGACUGGAUUUGUUUCUGCGGUUUUGUUUUCCUUUUAUGUCAUUAUUUACCAGCAAUACACAAUUAUGUCCUUUUUUGUUCAGCUUUAUUCCCUUGUCCUUGUGAUAUUGUUAUAGGCACAAAGUGUCCCAGUUUUUUAACACUUCGUUAUUUAUUAAUGCCACAGAUCGUGGGAUGAAGGUUUGUCAGCUCAUUUUUUCUUCUAUUGACAGAUAUAGUAACUGUGCAGAAGCUGAUUUGCUAAUAGUUUUCAAAGGA